GAAGGAAAUUAGGAUUGUAAGAUAUUUGAAGAAGAGAAACCUAAGGACCUUCAACAAAACCAUCAAGAACGAGAAAGAAAGAAAAGUAAAAGAGACGAACAAAAAAAAAAGGUAUCUUGAUUGCCAUAAUACUUUAUUGGCACCUUAGGGGUGGCGGUGCGGAGCUGAAGAAGAAGAAAAUGGAAGAAGAAGAGAAGGGCGGCGGCAACAUGAAUCUAAUUCAACUGGGAAAAAAAGAGAAAGAAUAAGUUAAUCAUGUCUUGUGGGGGUGACCCGCCACCCAACCCGCUAAACUGAGUUAAACGGGUUGACCCGUUUAUGACCCAAACCCGUUUAAAGUAGACCAAAAUCCACUAAUUUCAUGUCGGCUCGUAUCGGGUUGUCGGGUUAUGUCUAAAUUGUUAGCCCUAGAAUUAAUGGUCCUACGAAAGAAACGGUUUUGGCUCAUGUUAAAGAUCAAUAAAAUGGUCAAGUUCGUCUCA